ensembl:snRNA U6 U6 spliceosomal RNA
GUGCUCUCUUGGGCAGCAUAUAUACUAAAAUUGGAACAACCUAGAGAAGAUUAGCAUGGCCUCUGUUAGGAUGACGUGCAAAAUCGUGAAGCAGCCCACAUUUUU